CAUUUGGUUAAGCUCAGCACGAGGAACUUCCGUUUUCUUAUCUUGAACAUCAUGUACUGUUCCAGCCCACAGCCAGCCACCCAGGAAGGAAGCAUUUUUUUCCUUUUAGACAGAGGGUCUGGCCAGCCAUAUGGCCACGUUGUUGAAAGGCUCUGUGAACAGAAAUUGUAGGAAAUUGCAAAGCAACCUCUGAUAAUGAACAUCUUGCCAGGAAAAUGUAUCUGAUCUCUGAGGAAAGGUGUUGGAAGAGAUGGGAGACGGCAGGAGGAUUGUCUCAAACACAAGUCUGAGUUCUUUUGACAGCAAUGUCUCCCUGUUUCUGAAAUAUAGAGAAUUCGACUGAAGAAGCGAGGAAGUUUUGGAGACAUAAUCAGAAAGAGAGAAAUGCAGACAAAGAAGUUGUUGAAACUAGCUCACUUCUCUUCAUGCUAUUUUCAGAAUUUUUCUUUACAUCUUGCACUAAAAACAACCCCGCGCAAAAGACAAACCUUUUCCAGAUGUUUUGGUGAAUUCACUUUUAUUCUCCAUGGGCAAUAAUAACCAGUUUUUGUUUAAGGCCUUAUGAUUUAAAAAGCAUGCACUACUAAUAUUUACAAUAAUAACAUUUUUGAUGUUUACAAGAAUCCCUUAAAAUUGCUGUUAUUUUUAUUUACUAUUAUCAUACUGACUUUUUCAAAUAAGACAAUUGAAAUUCAGUCUCUUUUUAAUCAUCCAAGUAAUAAGCAGUGGAAGAGGCACUUUAAAAUACAAAUUAUUAAACUCUGAAUUCUCUGCCUUUCUUCCUCCUUUUGCAUGACAAUAGGGUAAAAUGAGACUAGCAUGUUUUAAUAAAUAAAUUUUUAUUUGCUUUUUUGAGUAAGAGCUUGGAGAAAUCUAAUAUGUCAUUUUGUGUACUCUUAAAAAUCCUUUGCUUGAAGAAUCUAAUGACUUUUAUGUCUAUGGAUUUAUAUAUUAUUUGCACCAUUUUGAAAUAUUUAGGAAAGGAGAGAAUAUAAUUAUUUGCCAUGAAAAUAAACUAACACUAUCAGGACAGGAGUCGAUGCCAACCAAAGCAUCCUAUUGCCCCAUACGCUGUUGCUGGCAUUGAUGAAAGUUGAGGAUUGGAAGAAGCAGAAUCAGCCAGCCUCGUGUAGAUUUCAACUGGAAUCUGGGCUGUUCCUCUAGGGUGCACCAGGGGCCUUCCUCCUCCCCUCACUUUCUUCCAUUCCCCACUCAGCAGUUUCAGAGGUUGACAAGAAUUCAGCUCAGUCAGGCAAAUGUUGGUUUAUAACACGAACACUGACCAUCUUACAAUGAGAGAGGGGAAGCAAAGAGAGAUUGCCAGACAUCUACAGUAAAUCAAAAGACGAUGUCGGGAUCUUUCCAUGAUGCCAAGUGCUUGCUACUGAUGGGUUUUUCUCCUGAAGUAACUUUUAGCUACAUUUACAGAUUUUCAGAGGAAAGAACCCCUGUAGCCAUGUUUUCCCCCAAAGAUCAGGCUCCCUUUCCACCUCAGAAUGGCUUCUCACAAAUACAGUAGUUCUUCAACAACAGAUGGGUCUAAGUUGAAAGAGACCUUGUCAUUGAUCCAGUGGCAUGAGGACUUCUUCAAGUGUACAUGUGGAUCUGAUGGUCACGGAGGGACCACACGACAUUGAUGCAGUUCCUCUUAAUGGGCCAGCUCUUCAUCAGCCCUGAUGUUCAGGCACCCAUGUUUAAGAUGCAGCCCCCCAGCAAGACCAGCAUGAGUGCCACAGAGCUUUGUGGAGACUCGCCAACAUAAUAGGCCAGUAUUUGGGAGAUUAUGUGAUUUCAGUUUCAUACCAUCUGUCCCCAGAUUUCCUUCACUACCAGGCUGGCCACUGGCUUUGGAGGACAGUCAAAAUCCAGGGCUCUGGAAUACUCUUUAUGGAGUUCAAAGGAGCAGGCGUCCCUGUGAACUCCAACGCUGGUUGUUGCCAUGGGGAAGUGUACCGAGAUUGUUGGCUUCCAGCAAGAUAUGUACUUGAAAGUCCUAAUGAAAGCAUGUUAAGCCCUCGGAAGCUGGCUAUGUGUCUGAGAGCCUGGCCAAGAGAUGUCAGAUCGCUCCACGGGCAAGAGAGAACAUAAGCAACUGAGAAAAAGGGAGGAAGAGACAUGCUGACGUUCUUCUCAACAGGAACAUUCUUUCUUCUUGGGAGUCCAUCAGCCUCAUCAUUUAUUAUCAGACUGUAACCACCCUUCAUCCUCUUUCUCCAACAGGAUCUCAUCAUUCCAAUAAGAACCUAAAUCAUAAAGUAAAAACAAGAAAAAUACGGCUUUUUGUUUUUGGCUAGAAGGCAAUCUGAUUGAUGCAGUAAAGGUCUGGAAGCCCUAAAAUGUUGGGUCAAUUCCUAACUCCGACACAAAGAAGCUAAACAACCUGCAAGAUAAUAUGUAAAAAAAAUCAACCACAAUGUUUCCAUCUGCAAAACAGAGUAGGGGUGCCACUGGGAAGUAUUUCAAAAACCUUGUGUUCCUCAUGCUAAUUAUUCACCAGUUGGCUUUCCAGGUCAUGCCUCUUGACAUCAGUAGCUUGAUUGCCAACGGGAUGAUGAUACUGGUUUCACUUUUAAAUAUGGGUUUCAAAAGUAUCAGUUUUCACAGUCGUCAGAGAAACAGAAUAUUGGAUGUGGGAAAAAAGCCUCAGGCAGAAAUCCAGAUGUCAGUCUCCCUCAUUUCACAAUGAGGAAGCCGAGGCCCAGAGUGGUGAGUGACCUGUCCAAGGCCACAGUCAGAGUUAGAGCUGUGCCAGGCCCAGGACGCGGGGCUUUCCUUUUGAUCAACAUCACAUUUCCUAAACCAGCUUGCUUCUUAUAUGCCUGCUUUCCAUGAUGAUUUCUGGGGAAAGGAUUUCUCAUAACAUGGAUUUUUCAUGGCUCUAGAUGGGUGAUUUGGGGCAACGUAGAAGGGCGCCUUUUGAUCUAGCUGCUUCCGCAUCAAGUACAACACUCCUUCCUCGAUGGAAGAAUGGUCGGCCUCUCCUAUCAGUCGCUGAAGUCUUAGAAGACAUGAAAAUAAACAAAACCUGACAAUUCUGUUCCCUGUGUUAUGACCUGUUCACCUCCCCUGCCACUUCCAACUUGACUUCUCCCUGAGUAGCCCCCACGUUAUUUAAGUCAGCAGGGCUUUCAGAAGUCAGGCAGUGCUGAGGCUGCCAGAAGGAAUACUUGCGUGGCAGGCGCAUGUGGGUCUGAGCUCUUUAGACUCUGGGUCAUGACUGGCAUAGAAGGGGUUCCUGCUGCUCUUCAAAUCGCUUUUGGUCUUGAAACUUCCUUCCAAUGGUUCCCUCCCUUAUGUUUAACCACUUCAUGCCAUGGAAUCACCGAAGGUCUCACUCUGACAAAUAAUAUUUUUUGAAGCACUCAGGAGUCUACUUUAUUCUGGAAUGUUCCAACAGGCAGCUUUAACAAAAAUAUGGGUAACUUCUUGAAAAAAGAGUAAGCUCAACUUAAAGUUGACUGCGAAUGACGAUAGCAAUCUGACCUUCGAUUCAUUAAAAAAUACCCAUAUGUUCACAGAAGGUUGUUUCAUAACAGCUGCAAAGUGGAAGUGACCCAAAUGAAUGUCUAUCGGUGGAUGCCUGGAACUUUUCCAACCAGCAGUGGGCCCUUAGCAGGGGAGACUGGAAACAGGUUUGAAUAAUGCAUUCAAGAUCCUUUAUGCACUGAAAGAAGAAAGUAGAACCAUUUCUGGGCCCCAGAUGUGGGAAGAGCUCCUGUUGCUGUGGAUUCUGACUUCUGGGUCUUGGAGCAGGAGGUGGCCAGCAAGCUAAGCUGUCCUGAGGGUGUGCCGGGCCAGGGGCUGAAGACAACGUUGGAGCAUCCACAGACUGGUUUGUCUCAAGAAACAUGUUACUAAAUAUGAAAUGGCAAAAUCUGCCAAGUGGGUUUACUUUUCCCCCAUAGAUUAGAAUGGAUUCAAUAUUAUCUCUUUAUUAGAUUCACUUUUAAUCACUUGCAUAGCAAGUAAGACAGAAGGGUGGUUUGAAAGUCAAUCAUGUGAGAAUUCCAGAUAAAUUGACUUUGCUCGCAACAAUCUGUUAUUCAUGUGACUAUCAACUGUCAUGUGUGCUGGGACAAAAAAGAAGAUUAAGGUUCACUGGUCUCAGACAGUUCCAGGAGAGGAAACCCAGGAUUGAACUUUUUCAGCCUUCUUUGGUAAAACGUGCUGCUCUGUGGGUGUGUCAAAGCUUUUUUCAGUUUCCUAAACUCCUGUAUUCAAGAAGAGAAGCUAUUUUCUCUUCUUUAUCAUCCUUCCUUGACAAAGCAAAACGUAUUUUCAUUGUCUGCUCUGUAUCAUCCAGGCUUGGUUCCUGUCUUCAAAGAGCAUAUAGUUCAAACAAAGGAGAGGGAGCAUUUUACAAGGGAAUUAAAGAUGAAAGACUCUGAAAGCCAGUUUAAAAAGUCGAGAGGGAGGGGUCUGGGAGAAGCUGAGCAGGGGUGAAAGGGUACAAAACAUUAUGGAAGGAGAACAGGGGAACACCUUGACUACUGGGUAGAAAUACCAAUCAGUGUGUAGAAACCACCACAGUGGUAACACGGAUCAGUGGGUGGAAACCAAUGACAGCAGGUGUGUGAGGCAUGGAACACUUGGCUUAUUGUAAAGUUUUCAAAAUAUGUGGUCCUUUCUAUCCACCAGGGGAUGGGAGUUGUCUCUGUAUAUCAACCACAGAAGGGCUGUUUCGGUUCAUCAUUCUGUGGUCUACCUGGGUAGACCUGAUGCGGCCGUGUUUCCGGGGAAAGGAAGAACAGCUUUUGUUUUGUGAUAUUUAAUGGUAGAUGUAGUGCCAUGGAAUGAUGCAGAUUUCAUUCAGAUAUUCUUGGAUCUUGGCCUCAGGACUCACUCAUUCUUCCUUAUAUGAGCAUUGGUAGUUAUAGGUUUUACCCUUCCUUUAAUUUUAAGUCCUUUGAAUGCAAAAACUGUAUCCAAUUUGUCACUGUCUCCCAACAGUACUUAACAGUGUCUGAUGCAUCAUAGGGAGUUUGUAAACGUUUGGAUGAAUAAAGGGAAAACAAAAACAACAAAAAUAACCUUUAUUUUGCUUUAAUAAAAAUAUUUUAACUAGUUUCCA